rnacentral:rRNA from 1 species
UACGUAGGGAGCAAGCGUUGUCCGGAAUCAUUGGGCGUAAAGCGCGCGUAGGCGGCCUCAUAAGUCCGUUGUGAAAGUCAAAGGCUCAACCUUUGAAAGCCGAUGGAUACUGUGAGGCUAGAGUCCGGAAGAGGCGAGUGGAAUUCCUGGUGUAGCGGUGGAAUGCGCAGAUAUCAGGAGGAACACCGGUGGCGAAGGCGGGUCUCUGGGCAGUAACUGACGCUGAGGAGCGAAAGCGUGGGGGGCGAACAGG